rnacentral:rRNA from 1 species
UACAGAGGUGGCAAGCGUUGUUCGGAAUUACUGGGCGUAAAGGGCGCGUAGGCGGCCUCUUUAGUCAGACGUGAAAUCCCCCGGCUUAACCUGGGAACUGCGUCUGAUACUGGGAGGCUAGAGUUCGGGAGAGGGAUGUAGAAUUCCAGGUGUAGCGGUGAAAUUCGUAGAUAUGGGGAGGAACACCGGUGGCGAAGGCGGCCAUCUGGACGGAUACUGACGCUGAGACGCGAAAGCGUGGGUAGCAAACAGG